CCCUUAGAUGUUCUGGGCUACACGCGCGCUACACUGACGAAUGCAACGAGCUUAUAACCUUGGCCGAAAGGUCUGGGUAAUCUCCAAAUUUCGUCGUGAUGGGGAUAGAUUAUUGCAAUUAUUAAUCUUCAACGAGGAAUGCCUAGUAAGCGCAAGUCAUCAGCUUGCGUUGAUUACGUCCCUGCCCUUUGUACACACCGCCCGUCGCUCCUACCGAUUGAAUGGUCCGGUGAAGCGUUCGGACCGUGGCCUUUGGACGGUUCGCCGUCUGUUGGCUGCGGGAAGUUCGUUAAACCUUAUCAUUUAGAGGAAGGAGAAGUCGUAACA
rnacentral:rRNA from 1 species